rnacentral:rRNA from 1 species
AUUGAACGCUGGCGGCAGGCCUAACACAUGCAAGUCGAGCGGAUGAAGGGAGCUUGCUCCUGGAUUCAGCGGCGGACGGGUGAGUAAUGCCUAGGAAUCUGCCUGGUAGUGGGGGAUAACGUCCGGAAACGGGCGCUAAUACCGCAUACGUCCUGAGGGAGAAAGUGGGGGAUCUUCGGACCUCACGCUAUCAGAUGAGCCUAGGUCGGAUUAGCUAGUUGGUGGGGUAAAGGCCUACCAAGGCGACGAUCCGUAACUGGUCUGAGAGGAUGAUCAGUCACACUGGAACUGAGACACGGUCCAGACUCCUACGGGAGGCAGCAGUGGGGAAUAUUGGACAAUGGGCGAAAGCCUGAUCCAGCCAUGCCGCGUGUGUGAAGAAGGUCUUCGGAUUGUAAAGCACUUUAAGUGGGGAGGAAGGGCAGUAAGUUAAUACCUUGCUGUUUUGACGGUACCAACAGAAUAAGCACCGGCUAACUUCGUG